AUAAGAAGGCUGCUUUUAAGAUUGAUGUUUCAGAGUUCAAUCUUAAAAAUGACUAUCGUGUUUAUACUGUGCAAAAAACAACUAAGGAUCCAGUAAUAGUUGCUGAGUUGGUUGGUGGAGAUGGUAAUGGUGAUGAAAAUACUGAUGAGGUUACUCAAGAGGUAGCUGACGUUAAAGACGUUAACCUUUCAGACUCUUCUCUGGUGUCUGCUGAACGAACUUCAAGGUUGUUUUGUGAUCUGUUGGAAGGAUGCUGUCUCUGUUACGGCCGACUCUUCAGUCGUUGAAGUUGAAAAGGAUUCUGGAUCAAGUCCCAAUGGAAAGCGGAUGGUUCAAGAUGUUGAUGUUGCCAACGUUGGUGAGCUAUCCACUAAUGUGAGAAGAACCCGGAAGAAGCUGACUAAGGUUAACAAUUAGAUUCUUAUGAAAAAACAAUUGUUAUGAGAGAUAAGUAGAAACCACUUAUUUUUGAAGAAUCCUUGUGGUUUUUAUUUAUGUCUGUUAACUGUUGUUUUAACAAACUGUGGUUAAAAGUUUUG